rnacentral:lncRNA from 1 species
CUGGAAUGACUUUGUCUUGAUGGUGUCUUAGAUUUCUGUUUAGGUGGCGGAGAAGAACUGGAGCGACUGCGUCUGGGUGGCGUUCUAGAUUUAGCUUUAGGGCAUGGGGAAGACCCUGAAAGGCUGCGCCUCAAAGACAAGCGAGAUUUUGCUUUGGACCGUGGUGAAGAGAGAGACCUGCUCCGCCUUGAAGAAAUGCG